rfam:Arthrobacter sp. ERGS1:01, complete genome.
CUUCAAGAGAUGCGGCGCCAAGCUCCGACUGGCCGCACGCCAACCCCAUGUUCGCAGGGUGGCUCGGAUGAGGAAGUGACCAGCGGUGACUGGAUCCGCGGGUAAGAGCACUCC